AACCCUGAUGGCGAGCGGCGAACGGGUGAGUAAUAUAUCGAGACGUACCUAAUAGAGGGGGGAUAACUCAUCGAAAGAUGAGCUAAUACCGCAUAAUCUCUGAGGAGGAAAGGUGGGGGACCAGCAAUGGCCUGCCGUUGUUAGAGCGAUCGAUACCCGAUUAGCUAGUUGGUGAGGUAAAGGCUCACCAAGGCGAUGAUCGGUAGCUGUUCUGAGAGGAUGGACAGCCACACUGGGACUGAGACACGGCCCAGACUCC
rnacentral:rRNA from 1 species